rnacentral:tRNA from 1 species
CAAGAAAUAAUUUAAAAAAGAAUAUUAAUUUUGGAGAUUAAAAGUAUAAAUUUAAUUAUUUUUUUGA